rnacentral:lncRNA from 1 species
UGUGACUACUCCUGUCCCAAACAAAAAGUUUCCCUGACCCCUGCACUGGAAUCCCAGCUCCCAAGGCUGUCACUUCAUCUCACCCUGACACCCCAAGCCCCAGAUCAGGUGUGAGCUCCCCCUUCCUUGUACUGGGGUCAUGAUGGGUGGGUUUAGCUGGCUGCCCCACGGUUGAGCCCAAGGCAUGGCUGCCACCAUAUUGGCUCCUCUUUACAAAGCAAGUGUGACAGGUCCAGGGGCAGGAUCCCAUGGCAUUGCUGGCUCUGGGUUUUGGGUCUGAGAAUUGCUGUCUGUGGUUGGCACUGGCGACAGGUGCCACCGUUCCCCUUUCAGGCUGCACCACAGGGUUAGGGGAAUGAUCUUUACCUCCAGACAGCCCUCGGCUUCAACUGCACCAGAUAACGGCUGUGGCUUUGUGUGUGUUCUCUCCCGUCGUCCUUUUUUCUCUCUGAUCGUGUAAAGGAGAGGACUAGAAGGAGCGGUUCCCACCUCUCGGAGGACAACGGACCAAAAGCGAUCGAUGUGAUGGCGCCCUCCUCAGAGUAGGGAAAGCCAGUCAUCUCCAUCCCCUCCCGCCUCCUCGCGAAUGAGCAGUGCCCGGCUUAACCUGGCCCUUCUUGGGCCUACGUGCAGUGUCUGCAUGCCUCGUGUCCGUUUGUCCACAUGUCUGUUUGCGUCGUCCCACUAAUGUGGAUUUCAGCAGCAAGUGUGGUGUUUGUUUUUAUUCUUGUCUUUGUCUCCGUGCCGUUGCUGUCGUUGUCCUUCAAUAAGGUUGACUGCAUUCAGCCAGUGCCAAAAGAGGAGCCCAGUCCCGCUACCAAAUUCCAGUCCAUCGGGGUUCAGGUAGAGGACGACUGGCGGUAAGUUGGACAGAGGUGUGGUGGCUGCUAUUCCCCUCUCCUCUCCCUCCCUCCGCCCUCACCUCUCCUGCUCUCCCUAACCCACUUCUCCUUGCUGGAUUUCUAAUAACCCAAGCUGGGUGUGGGUGUGGGUGGUGGCUCAGGUGUGGGGGCUGGGCAGGGCAGGUGGGUGGACACACG